rnacentral:pre_miRNA from 1 species
UUGAUACAUCNUCCCAAAUUUCUUGUCUUAGAUUUGUCUAGAUACGGAUGUAUCUAAUACUAAAAUGUGACUUGAUACAUCUGUAUCUAGACAAAUCUAAGACAAGAAUUUUGGGACGGAGGGAGUACUUU